rnacentral:rRNA from 1 species
AUGCUGAGCAAUUGCAGGCAUGUAAGGUUCAACGAAAUUGAGAACCUACACAUAUACAAUAGAGGUUGGGACGCAAUGACAAAGGUUUUGUGUGCUCGCAUCAAACAUACUCGGAGUGGAACUGCCGUCUUUCACGCCAUCCUCAUCGACCAGACUGGGGUCAAAAUGGAUGCAAUUGCAUUCGAUCCGUUUCAACCUAUCGCAUAUCGCUUCAUGGACAACCUACGUGCCGGCUCAGUAUACUUUUUCAGUAAAGUUGGUUUCGAACCAGCAGGUGUGCAUCUGCCAGUUGCUUUGUGGUUGCCAUGUGACUUUUACAUCGCCCUCCACUCGCGCACUAAAAUACGUCUUGCAAGGGCCAGCAUUAACAUCACUACGUUGCCGCCACUAUUCAGAGAUUUUAUAAAUGUCUUCAGCCUCAGAGACAGGAUGCUUGCAGAUGUCAUUGGUAUAGUGAUGCAUGUCAGCCGCAUAAUGUUACACAGGUCAUCCGACCGUACCACGCCAUACCGACAUGUGGUGCUAAUGGACAGUCGGAGGGAGUUUAUCUACCUACGCGUUUGGGACCAGCAUGUGUCACGCCACUUGACACGAUGGGGACUAGCGAAGCAGGGGCUCUGGACUUUAGGUGCCACACUGCUUGAGGUCAACAGAGCAAAACGGUUUCUGAAAACGACAUACAUGAACCAGCUUGUCUUCGAACCAGACAACCAGCAAUCCUACGAGCCUCUCUGA